AUCCAUUUGAAUAGUCUCAAACAGGACGAAACGCGCGUCCUCCAU
rnacentral:hammerhead_ribozyme from 1 species